rnacentral:rRNA from 1 species
CGUAGGGUGCAAGCGUUAAUCGGAAUUACUGGGCGUAAAGCGUGCGCAGGCGGUUUUGUAAGACAGGCGUGAAAUCCCCGGGCUCAACCUGGGAAUUGCGCUUGUGACUGCGAAGCUGGAGUGCGGCAGAGGGGGAUGGAAUUCCGCGUGUAGCAGUGAAAUGCGUAGAUAUGCGGAGGAACACCGAUGGCGAAGGCAAUCCCCUGGGCCUGCACUGACGCUCAUGCACGGAAAGCGUGGGGAGCAAACAGGAUUAGAUACCCUGGUAGUCCACGCCCUAAACGAUGUCAACUGGUUGUUGGGUCUCUUCUGACUCAGUAACGAAGCUAACGCGUGAAGUUGACCGCCUGGGGAGUACGGCCGCAAGGUUG